UGAUAUGAGCCCACCAGCGAGA
rnacentral:miRNA from 1 species